rnacentral:rRNA from 1 species
AUUGAACGCUGGCGGAAUGCUUUACACAUGCAAGUCGAGCGGCAGCGCGGGGCAACCUGGCGGCGAGCGGCGAACGGGUGAGUAAUACAUCGGAACGUACCCAGUUGUGGGGGAUAGCCCGGCGAAAGCCGGAUUAAUACCGCAUACGACCUGAGGGUGAGAGGGGGGGGAUCGCAAGACCUCUCGCAGUUGGAGCGGCCGAUGGCGGAUUAGCUGGUUGGUAGGGUAAAGGCCUACCAAGCCGACGACCUGUAGCUGGUCUGAGAGGAUGACCAGCCACACUGGGACUGAGACACGGCCCAGACUCCUACGGGAGGCAGCAGUGGGGAAUUUUGGACAAUGGGCGCAAGCCUGAUCCAGCCAUGCCGCGUGCGGGAAGAAGGCCUUCGGGUUGUAAACCGCUUUUGUCAGGGAAGAAAUCUUCUGGGUUAACACCUCGGGAGGAUGACGGUACCUGAAGAAUAAGCACCGGCUAACUACGUGCCAGCCGCCGCAGUAA